GAAUAGAAACGCCGACUAGUGGCGUACUGGUCAGCACAGUUAUCAAAUUUCGUGGAAUUACAUUAUUUCUUGAAAAAGGUCCAGGUGUGUUUGUAUUCAUCUUUUUUUGUAAACAGAAUGUCGCCGAAUAUCGGCAAAAUUAUAUAUGUACACUUGUUUGUACGUAUGCUCUUUUUACGCGUGAAACGCGUGCUUACAGUUAUUUGUGAAAGAACCCAUUACAGAAUUUCUGAGAUUCUGGAAAUGUUAUUACCGCUUAUUACAAACGUAUUUACAUAUGUACAUUUUAUAUACAUAUUUAAAGUUAAGACAUAUUUUAUAAUUUAUAAAGCAAAUAGGGCAGGAAUGCGUUUCUGAAUCGCAAAAAGUACACACGCACACAAAUAUGUAUAUACACACACACACAAUGUUUUACCGCUAUGUAUGAACAUUAUGUAUUACCAUUCCGGCUCUUUUAACAUAGUUGAGACGCCAGCUAAUAAUAUGUCUGCAAAAGGAAACAUCGAGCAGCUAAAAUACAUGAACGCCGAUGACAUUAGGUCUGCGCAUAGAGUUUAGACAAAAACUCUUCAGAUGGAAGGAGUCUGAGGAACCGCCGCAGCCGCAUAAUGAAAAAGAAGAAUAGAUGCCCAGGACUUCAUAACCGCCACAUUGCUGAAUGCUGUUUUGCCCUCAUCAGCCCGCUUCAAGAAUGAAGAUGGAAAAUGUACAAGGAAGGCUACAAUACUGGACGCGCAGGAGAGUUUUGUGCUGAGACUAGUAACUAUUAAUGACUUAGAUAUUCAAUUGGACCGAG